GUCUCACUCUAGUCCUGGAGUGGGAAGGGAUAGCUGCCUGAGAAGAUGGUAACUAGAGAAGAGGGAGCUCCAGCCUGGUAAACCUGCAGGCCUUGGUAGAGGCCCAAAAAAGCUACCUGUACUUUCAAUCAAUUAUUCUGUCAUCUGCCAUUGUUUUGGUUAAUUAAAAUGACCCAGGGAAGAGAUAACAUCCAUGAAUAUGUAAUGGAACCCUGCUAAUUCCUGAAUAAGAAUAAGAAAUGUAAAGUCAUUACUCAUCCACCAAAAGCAGCUGAAGGAUCUGUGCAGAUCUGCUUCUCCAGUGUCCCAGACUGCAUAGUGCAAAUUGCAGUAGGAGACUUCAAAACAGCCAGCACAGCAUACAGCAGCAGGACUUCAAGAGAAGUGAGAAUCACACUUACAAUGGACAACCUGGCAGCUAUUGAGGAUUACAUUUAAAGACCUUUUAUAAAUGAGCACCCAUGAACUUGCAUAUAAUGACAGCAUUCCACUGUGUUAGUACAAGAGCACCCUCCCAUGGUGGUAAUGAUAUUUUAGAUGUUAUACAAUUUAGAUGGUCCAUAAUAAAGUUGUACCUAAUGUAACUACCUCUUCCAAUACCACUGCCACUGGGGAAGGUCCUGAACCUUCUUCUCAACUCCUCACCUGCCGGUGAAAGGGAGAUCUAGGGGCCCACUCUAUCAAGCCUCAUGCAGCUACUUUCCUCGUACCCUGUUGGCCAUUUCACCUUCUGCACUCCUUGCUUACUGUGCCCGUACUCUACACAGCCCUCACUGGAGAGGUCCGAAGGGGUGAGUAAUGUACUUCUAUCUAUCUGGGAGAAUCUGAGUGGCUAGAGGAUUUUUUUUUCAAUAAUCUUUGGAAUGGUCAUUGUCUGGCAGUGUCCUUCCCUCUCCUUCUCCCCCUAUCACACCCUAGGCAAGGUCACUGCUUGUGUCCUCCUUCUAGCAUAUUUUAGGGAUCAAGAGCACCAGUGAUGAUUCCCAGAAAGUGCCAACAAAUUCUCAGUAUACUCUUGCCAUUAUAAAAAUACUAAACAAUAUUUACUGUCUUCUUACAGUUAACAUGGAGAUCACUUUGCUAAUAAUAUACCUGGUCAAUAUUUUAUCCAAAAGUUUUUUCCCUCUACAUGUUGCCUCUUUUUUUAAAAAAUGAAAAUUUUAGUAAACUGAUUAUUUUCCAAAAUAUUUCAUUUAGAAUAAUUGUGACUUUAUCAACUUUUUUAUGGAAGUCAUUACUAAAACUUACCAAAAAGAGAGAACAAAACAAGAAAACACCAAUAGGUUUUGGUAAAUGAAAAAUUCUGAUAAUCGUUUCCAUAACAGUUUUGAUACAUAUUUUUUUUUAAAAAAAAAGGGUCCAUUUUGUACCAUACAAAAGGGUCACAAUGUUGAAAUGUGGACAUUUUCCAAAAAAUUUGUUCUUAAAGUUGCCAAGCAGCUUUACGAAUAGGCAAUUUUAGAGACUAGUGUGCUUACACACCAGUUGUAGACUUUGAUAUUCUUAUUUACUACUGAUUGUCCUUUAUCUGUUGAUUGGGUAAUGCUAACAGUUAUAAUUCUUCAGAUGUCCUAAUUCACUUGGCUAUACCUUAGUUAAAAUUAGUUGCUACACAAAUUUAUUGUUCCUUACAUUGAUUUGAAUUUUAGUUCUCUAAAAGAUAGCUCAGUGAAGGCAUUACUGAACUGAGGACAUUUUUUCAAAAUGACUAGUAACAUUGAUGUAUCUCAACACUUUCUGAAACACAGUAAGUUACUCCAUAUGUCAAAAAGUUCUCAAAAAUAUUCUAACUGAUUGAGAAAGAGUCACCUUUUCCACCAAGAAAAAAGUCUUUGGAGCUAUUAGCACUGACAAGGCAAAUUAGGUACAAUCCUGCAAUGACCUAAGUGUGGACUGACCCAGGAGUGCAGCUGCACUGAGCUCACUGCAGAAUCAACAAGGUCUCACAGUAGAAUAUCAGAUGAAUAAAUCAAUUUGUUAUAUUCAGCAACAACUCAUUUUGAAUUUGCAGCCAAAUCAGUGCACCUCUUAUCAAACCUAGGCAUGUCUACACUACAAUUACACAUCACCAUCUGGUCCAUGCCAGCUGACUCAGGCUCAGGGGACUCAGGCUAAGGUGGCUGUUUAACUGAAGUGUAGAGUAAGGGCUCCAGCAGCAGGUUCAUACUGCUUUUGCUGCCUGUGGGUGCUGUUUAUUAGUUGUAGUAGUAUUGAGUUGUCGGCUUGAGCCCCAUACCUCAUUGUGCUAGGUGCUGUUCAGACAAUGAACAACAAUGACAAUACAAGACGAGACAACAGGUGGAGACAGAUGGUGGAGCGCAAGGAAACAAUAAAAUAUUACUCAGCAUUGUACCAUCCAUCAUGGGCACGGAAUGAGGCAGAGAUCCUGUGGAAAAAAUAGUAUGUGAGCUUGUAAUUACAGGCUGUAUCAUAAUGCACACACAUCAAGGUGAGGAAUCACGGUUGCGUGGGCAAGUCUGAUUCUUCCCAAAUUUUGAGAGGUUGACUUUUUACCAGUUGUUCUUAGAAUCUAGGAUUUUUAAUGUAACAUACAUAUAUGUACACAUGCUCAUUUUCUUUAAUGAGGCUUUAUUUUACUUCAUUUUGGUAAACUGCAGAGAAAGCAAAGUUUUGAAUGGGAAUCACAGGAGGACUGUCACAGGAACUAGCAUCAGAAGAUUCAAAGCAGAAUAAGCUGCAUUCUAGUAAUAGACAUCAGGUAGUAAGCAUUUUAUGGAUAGCUUGCAAUAUUACUUAGAAUUUGUCCUUCAAGCUGGAAAGAUUUUAAGCAUGUGGCUGUAGUGUUCUGUUCAAUCCAUUACUGUAACUGUUUCCAACAAGAUGGAUCUUUUUUCUUCUGAAGAAAAAGCACCAAAUAGUAUGAGCUAGCAAGAUUACAAGAGAAAAUCUUAG